rnacentral:rRNA from 1 species
GAUGAACGCUAGCUACAGGCUUAACACAUGCAAGUCGAGGGGCAGCAUGAUUGAAGCUUGCUUCAAUCGAUGGCGACCGGCGCACGGGUGAGUAACACGUAUCCAACCUGCCGAUAACUCGGGGAUAGCCUUUCGAAAGAAAGAUUAAUACCCGAUAGUAUAGUAUUUCCGCAUGGUUUCACUAUUAAAGAACUUCGGUUAUCGAUGGGGAUGCGUUCCAUUAGAUAGUUGGCGGGGUAACGGCCCACCAAGUCAACGAUGGAUAGGGGUUCUGAGAGGAAGGUCCCCCACAUGGGAACUGAGACACGGUCCAAACGCCUACGGGAGGAAGCAGUGAGGAAUAUUGGUAAAUGGACGAGAGUCUGAACCAGCCAAGUAGCGUGAAGGAUGACUGCCCUAUGGGUUGUAAACUUCUUUUAUACGGGAAUAAAGUGGAGUAUGCAUACUCCUUUGUAUGUACCGUAUGAAUAAGGAUCGGCUAACUCCGUG